rnacentral:rRNA from 1 species
GAUGAACGCUGGCGGCGUGCCUAAUACAUGCAAGUCGAGCGAACAGAUAAGGAGCUUGCUCCUUUGACGUUAGCGGCGGACGGGUGAGUAACACGUGGGUAACCUACCUAUAAGACUGGGAUAACUUCGGGAAACCGGAGCUAAUACCGGAUAAUAUUUCGAACCGCAUGGUUCGAUAGUGAAAGAUGGUUUUGCUAUCACUUAUAGAUGGACCCGCGCCGUAUUAGCUAGUUGGUAAGGUAACGGCUUACCAAGGCGACGAUACGUAGCCGACCUGAGAGGGUGAUCGGCCACACUGGAACUGAGACACGGUCCAGACUCCUACGGGAGGCAGCAGUAGGGAAUCUUCCGCAAUGGGCGAAAGCCUGAUGGAGCAACGCCGCGUGAGUGAUGAAGGUCUUCGGAUCGUAAAACUCUGUUAUUAGGGAAGAACAUACGUGUAAGUAACUGUGCACGUCUUGACGGUACCUAAUCAGAAAGCCACGGCUAACUACGUG